rnacentral:rRNA from 1 species
UACAUGUGGGGCAAGCGUUUGUUCGGAAUUACUGGGCAUAAAGGGUGCGUAGGUGGCUUGUUAAGUCAGGGGUGAAAGUUUUCGGCCCAACCGGAAAAUGGCCUUUGAUACUGGCGAGCUCGAGUGCGUGAGGGGUAACCGGAACGAGCAGUGUAGCGGUGAAAUGCGUAGAAUAUUGCUCGGAAGGCCAACGGCGAAGGCAGGUUACUGGUGCGCAACUGACACUGAGGCACGAAAGCGUGGGGAGCAAACAGGG